AAUCCGUCGAUUUCAAAAAUCGUGAGGGUUCAAGUCCC
rnacentral:tRNA from 1 species